GCCCACGUAGCUCAGUAGGUAGAGCACUUCCUUGGUAAGGAAGAGGUCAUCGAUUCAAAUCCGAUCAUCAGCUCCG
rnacentral:tRNA from 1 species